AUUAAGUGUACUAGAAGUACAUUGGUAAUAAAUAUAUGCUUUAUUACAUUUUUAAGAAAUAUGCUAAACUUAAGAAUAUUUUUAAUGUAUUUAUAUUAAGUGUACUAAAAGUAUGCUGGUAAUAAAUAUAUGCAUAAUUACACUUUUAAGAAAUAUGCUAAACACAAAUGUACUUCUAGUGAAGUUUUAGUAUAUUUGGAUAAAACAUACUUUUUUCAAAACAUGAUUCAUUAAUUGUAAUAAGCUAACAUUGAACUUUCCUCAAGCCUUUCAACAUUAUAUCAUUCCGAUUGCACAAUAAGCUAUUUUUUCAAAGAUUUGCUUAAAAUCUUACUUGUUUAAUUUCAAAAUCUUACUUGUUUAAUUUCAAACAACACACGUGACACACGUGACUAAACCUGAUUGGUUGUUGUCAUAGUAACACGUCACGGUGCUAUUUGAAACUUGUUCAGUUUAGUUCAGUUGUUCACGGUGCAUGCGGUUGCUUGCAUUAAACGUAUAAACUGUUAAAUUAGAUGGCGACUCUGCAUUAAACGUAUUUAUUUAAUUAAUCGGCGAUCAUAUUUCACCAGAGGACUAAGAUAAAACAACUCGAUUUAAAAUGUGAGCAGUUUUAGUGGAUCUGACGUUGAGGGAAAAAGUAUUUCGCUUUUUGUUUGGAGAUGAACGAAACAACACGAGGCACAGCGAUAUAAAUAUGACCAACCAGAUCCCAAGUAGACAGGAACAAAUGAAGAUAUAGCGCAUAGAAAGACUUAUUCUUGGUGAUCAACUGCUAUUGACAUUUUUGAAUCGGGGCAAAUGUGGAGCGAAGAAAAACGUUUGCAACACAUCCAUUCCAGAGUGCUCUGACAGAUAAAACUGACACGCUUGAUGAGGACACAGUCAAAGCUUUAAAAGCCCGUGUGAUAAAGCAGUCUUCAAUUACUACGGUGUCUGAAUUGCAAGAAUAAGUCACCCUCCACUUAAACAUGUGACAUCUAAACUGUUUUGUGUUUUAGUUCAGCUUUUUAUAGGUUUAUCUUAAGUUGGUUAAAGGCAGAGUGCACUAUUUUUGAAAGCCAAUGUUAACAUUUGAAAUUACCUAAAAAAACAUGCCUCUACCCCAAUAGAAUCUGGACCUUCUUUUGAUAGAGCCACCACACACAUACGCAACCCCGGCAAGGAUGUCGGUUAGAAGACACGCCCCUUACUGCUGGUUGGCUACAAGUGUGUUUUGGUAGUCGGCCCAAUUUCCUUUUCCAAAGCGUUUUUCAAACAUUGUGCACUCCGUCUUUAAAUUGCACUUAAACAUUUUUUUUCAUUAACUUUUUAUGCAGAGAAUUACAUUAUGAUUAUUAUAUAAUCAUUGCUUAUGAAUAUUUAGUGAUUGCAUAUUCAUAGUGUACUUUUCAUUAAUACAUUUAAUGUUAAUGUUGUACAAUUUGA